UGCUUGCCUGCUGGAGAGAGGCGUCGCCGCCGGCCCCGCGCCCGGCGCCGUCCACCGAAGGAGCAAGCGGGCCCACCACCGCACGGGCGGCGUCGGCGCGUGAAUCUCUCAGGUAAAGCGGACAGCAGGUGUGCC
rnacentral:ncRNA from 2 species